AUACGUAGGUGACAAGCGUUAUCCGGAUUUACUGGGCGUAAAGGGCGUGUAGGCGGUCUUGCAAGUCAGAAGUGAAAUUCCUGAGCUCAACUCGGGCGCUGCUUCUGAAACUGCAGGACUUGAGUGCUGGAGGGGAUAGCGGAAUUCCUAGUGGAGCGGUAAAAUGCGCAGAUAUUAGGAAGAACACCGGUGGCGAAGGCGGCUAUCUGGACAGUAACUGACGCUGAGGCGCGAAAGCGUGGGGAGCAAACAGGACUAGAUACCCUGGUAGUCCACGCCGUAAACGAGGAAUACUAGGUGUAGGGGGUAUCGACUCCCUCUGUGCCGCAGUUAACACAAUAAGUAUUCCGCCUGGGGAGUACGGCCGCAAGGUUGAAACUCAAAUGAAUUGGCGGGG
rnacentral:rRNA from 1 species